rnacentral:lncRNA from 1 species
CAACCAUUUGAGGCAGACCAUUGAGGUUUCUGCCAUCGGCAAUCUUUUCAUAUUUUUCUAUUCAUUUUGAUCAAAGUGCUUCUUAGUGGAAUGGUUGAAAUGAAACAACCACAAAGACUUAUGUGCAAAACGUGGAAGGAGACAAUGAGGGUCUGAUAUUCUUAAAUAUGUCUCUGCAACUCUGCAGGCAAAAAAGUAGGUCCUGCCUCUGGGAUAGUAGGACCUCUGCGGGUUCAAAGUUCCAGCUCAAGGUAUAAAGGAUGAAGUUGUAGGGCAGGAAGUCUUAUGACACUCAGAACAGCUACUCAAUGGAAAUCACAAACAGAAUGAGUUUCAUCCACAUGUCAAGACACUACUACCAACAAAGCUACUAAAUACCUAGCUGUCUCUUCCACUUAAGCAAGUGUUUCCAAACCUGUCCCGAGGCAGAGAUGACCCUAAAGAGCCCCUCAGGAGCACUUAUUUGUGGUUUCGAGACUGAAGGCUGGCUGUGCAACUUUGGGAAAGAGAUGGAUUCAAUGGUGCUCACUUUCCUUUGGAUCUCUGCAAAACUACAUACCUACUCAACAUGUUUUUGGAUAGAAUUUCAGUAUGGUGCAUUCCAUGCCUCAGAAGUGGAGCAGUAUGUGGCAUGAAUGAAUAGAACCUCUGCCUUCCACAUUGGGAAAGCCAAGGCACCUCCUUCCUCACUCUCUUCCACCACACCAUGAUAGACCUGGGUCAGGUCGACCAUCUGGACAGUGCUUCAGGUAAAUCAUCCAAUGGGAGACUGAGGUAUUGAGAAGGCACUUGGCAAACCACCUACUAUCCUUGCUGUGACUAUUCCUAG